GGGCUGCUAGCUCAGUUGGUAGAGCAACGCCCUUUUAAGGCGUGGGUCAAAGGUUCAAAUCCUUUGCAGCUCA
rnacentral:tRNA from 1 species